rnacentral:lncRNA from 1 species
CUCACGGUCAGCAAAACCCAGCAGCGUUACCCACUCACACCCCCUCGCUUGGAUCAGAGCUCUAACUUCGGGGAAAUAAAAUGGGAAGAAAAGCACCCCACCUUACAGUGGCAUUUUGGUCAUCUGAGAAAGGUGGAGUCAGCUUGGGCCAGCAGAAAAAGCCAAGAAUAUUUAAGAGCAUGGGAAAAAAGAUUUCCAAGUUAUGAACUGAAAGUGAGUGACCAUGAAGUUGAGCAGAAUAACUGGAAGUCAAGAACACCUUUGCAUUGUGCUGUGAAUGCCAAAUGUGACAACUUCAACACAAGUGAACAUGGAAUCACCUGUCACUCAUUUCUUCCAAGGAAAUCCAAGAGACAACACAUGCCAAAUUCUCCUUCUGUGUAA